CAGGCCUAACACAUGCAAGUCGAACGAGAAAGUGGAGCAAUCCAUGAGUAAAGUGGCGACCGGGUGAGUAACACGUGACUAACCUACCUUCGAGUGGGGGAUGACCUCGGGAAACCGAGGCUAAUACCGCAUAACAUCGCAAGAUCAAAGCAGCAAUGCGCUGGAAGAGGGGGUCGCGGCUGAUUAGCUAGUUGGCGGGGUAACGGCCCACCAAGGCGAAGAUCGGUAUCCGGCCUGAGAGGGCGCACGGACACACUGGAACUGAAACACGGUCCAGACUCCUACGGGAGGCAGCAGUGGGGAAUUUUGCGCAAUGGGGGAAACCCUGACGCAGCAACGCCGCGUGGAGGAUGAAGCCCCUUGGGGCGUAAACUCCUUUCGACCAAGACGAUAAUGACGGUACUGGUGGAAGAAGCACCGGCUAACUCUGUGCCAGCAGCCGCGGUAAUAC
rnacentral:rRNA from 1 species